UAACCUGCCUUGGAUGGGGAAUAACAGUUGGAAACAGCUGCUAAUACCGCAUAAUGCAGUUGAGUCGCAUGGCUCUGACUGCCAAAGAUUUAUCGCUCUGAGAUGGACUCGCGUCUGAUUAGCUAGUUGGUGGGGCAACGGCCCACCAAGGCGACGAUCAGUAGCCGGACUGAGAGGUUGGCCGGCCACAUUGGGACUGAGACACGGCCCAGACUCCUACGGAAGGCAGCAG
rnacentral:rRNA from 1 species